rnacentral:rRNA from 1 species
CAGCCGCCGCGGUAAUACGUAGGGUGCAAGCGUUAAUCGGAAUUACUGGGCGUAAAGCGUGCGUAGGCGGCUUUUUAAGUCGGAUGUGAAAUCCCUGAGCUUAACUUAGGAAUUGCAUUCGAUACUGGGAAGCUAGAGUAUGGGAGAGGAUGGUAGAAUUCCAGGUGUAGCGGUGAAAUGCGUAGAGAUCUGGAGGAAUACCGAUGGCGAAGGCAGCCAUCUGGCCUAAUACUGACGCUGAGGUACGAAAGCAUGGGGAGCAAACAGGAUUAGAUACCCGCGUAGUCCCUGUCUCUUAUAC